UUCAGCCGCGACCGAAAAGAAAGUGCUCCAGUGGGGUCAGUGGGGCCCUGCAACGCCGUUAGACUGUGCCGGGAAGUCCCGGGGGCUCAUCCGCCCCGGGACCACCGGCAGCUCCCUCUGUGGGGGGGCGUCCACAGAUCAAAUGACGGUGGCCACCGAUGUGGUUCAGACAUGAUCGGCCCCGGCUGUGGACGGCCGUGGAUGUUGCGUUCCGUAGGUGAACCUGCGGAAGGAUCAUU
rnacentral:rRNA from 1 species